rnacentral:rRNA from 1 species
ACUCAAAUGAAUUGACGGGGACUUGCACAAGCGGUGGAACAUGUGGUUCAAUUCGACGAUAAACGAAGAACCUUACCAGGCUUAGACAUCCAGACGAAUACUCUAAGAAACUAGAGUAGCCGAAAGGCGGCUGGACAGGUGCUGCAUGGCUGUCGUCAGUUCGUGGCUUGAGCUGUUCCCUUCAGUGGGGUAACGAACGCAACCCCUGUUGUCUGUUACAAGUAUCAGACGAGACCGCCCAGCCCCUAGCAAAUGAAAAUUUCAUUUCUUAGGGGCUGGGAGGAAGGUGGGGAUGACGCCAAGUCAGCAUGGCCCUUUGACGGCCUGGGCUACACACGUGUUACAAUCGCAUCUACAACGGGACGCAAUGACGCAAGUCGGAGCAAACCCUUAGAAAAGAUGCGCCAGUUCGGAUUGAGGUCUGCAACUCGACCUCAUGAAGCCGGAAUCGCUAGUAAUCGCGGGUCAGCUAUACCGCGGUGAAUACGUUCUCAAGUCUUGUACACACCGCCCGU